rnacentral:misc_RNA from 1 species
GAUGAAGAACGCAGCGAAAUGCGAUAAGUAAUGUGAAUUGCAGAAUUCAGUGAAUCAUCGAAUCUUUGAACGCACAUUGCGCCCGCCAGUAUUCUGGCGGGCAUGCCUGUCCGAGCGUCAUUUCAACCCUCGAACCCCUCCGGGGGUCCGGCGUUGGGGAUCGGCCCUUUACCGGCCGGCCCCGAAAUGCAGUGGCGGUCCCGCCGCAGCCUCUCCUGCGCAGUAGUUUGCACACUCGCACCGGGAGCGCGGCGCGUCCACGUCCGUAAAACACCCAACUUCUGAAAUGUUGACCUCGGAUCAGGUAGGAAUACCCGCUGAACUUAAGCAUAUCAAUAAGCGGAGGA